CGCACUAGUCGGGGAGAUAGCGGUGCCCUGUAGCCUGCAAUCCGCUACAGCAGGGAUGAAUUCCCGCACCCGGGUAUUGCGUUGUGUCGCAGUCCGAAUAAGUGGUGUUGAGGGGUCGGUCUCACGCAACGGGCUCCCGUGAACCAUGUCAGGCGGGGAACCGAGCAGCAUUAAGCGGAUCUGUCCGUGUGCCGCAAGGACGCCGCUGCUGAGCUGGCUGUUCGGGAA
rnacentral:SRP_RNA from 1 species